GACGAACGCUGGCGGCGUGCUUAACACAUGCUAGUCGAACGAAGAGCGAUGGAAGCUUGCUUCUAUCAAUCUUAGUGGCGAACGGGUGAGUAACGCGUAAUCAACCUGCCCUUCAGAGGGGGACAACAGUUGGAAACGACUGCUAAUACCGCAUACGAUCUGACCUCGGCAUCGAGGAUAGAUGAAAGGUGGCCUCUAUUUAUAAGCUAUCACUGAAGGAGGGGAUUGCGUCUGAUUAGCUAGUUGGAGGGGUAACGGCCCACCAAGGCGAUGAUCAGUAGCCGGUCUGAGAGGAUGAACGGCCACAUUGGGACUGAGACACGGCCCAGACUCCUACGGGAGGCAGCAGUGGGGAAUCUUCCGCAAUGGACGAAAGUCUGACGGAGCAACGCCGCGUGAGUGAUGACGGCCUUCGGGCUGUAAAGCUCUGUUAAUCGGGACGAAAGGCCUUCUUGCGAAUAGUUAGAAGGAUUGA
rnacentral:rRNA from 1 species